rnacentral:rRNA from 1 species
AUGGAGAGCUUCUCCAGAACGUCGCCUCAGGAUUGGGAGCUCGGUGACCGGACAGGAGGGUGCUCCAAAAACACUCCGCUGGAUUGCAAUGGCAACAGGAGUUCCACAGACGUGUUCCAACCCAUAGCUCGUGUGACAUUACCCUAUGGUCCCCAGAGUUUACAGCAUGCUCCUGCAAAUCGGAGCGAAUGCGAAUGGGCCUGCCUCACCAACUGCUCCUGUACUGCUUACUCCUACCAUGACAGCAAAUGCUCUGUUUGGCAAGGGGAGUUGUUCAGUGUAAACAAGGAUGAUGGCAUCGAGAUCAGCUCUGAAUAUACUCUGUACAUUCGCCUUGCUGCGGGAGAUGUUCCAAGUUCAACAAGAGAUAGUAAAAGAAAACCAGCAGCUGGAGCUGUUAUUGCUGCAAGCGUUAUCAGUUUUGGGUUGCUGAUGCUCAUGCUGCUACUGGUGAUCUUAAGGAACAGAUUCAACUGGUGUGGUAUGUCAUCACAGGCCACCAAUCAAGGUAAUGUUGGAGUUGUUGCCUUUAGAUACGCCGAUUUGGGCCGUGCUACAAAGAAUUUCUCAGUGAAGCUAGGAGCAGGAGGUUUUGGGACUGUAUUUAAGGGAGUUCUAAGUGACCUGACUAGUGUAGCAGUGAAAAGGCUUGAAGGUGCGCGUCAGGGAGAGAAGCAAUUCAGGGCAGAGGUAAGUGCACUUGGACUGAUCCAGCACAUCAACCUGGUCAAAUUGGUUGGUUUCUGUUGUCAUGGUGAUAAGAGGCUGCUUGUAUAUGAACACAUGUGCAAUGGUUCUCUUGAUUCCCAUCUGUUCCAAAGCAAUGGUACAGUCCUCAACUGGAGCACCAGAUAUCAGAUAGCCAUCGGAGUUGCUAGAGGAUUGUCCUACCUGCAUCAGAGUUGCCGCGAAUGCAUCAUACACUGUGAUAUCAAGCCAGAAAAUGUACUUCUCGAUGAAUCGUUUGUCCCUAAAAUUGCAGACUUUGGGUUGGCAUCGGUCAUAGGAAGGGAUUUUAGCCGGGUUCUAACUACAUUCAGGGGAACUACAGGGUAUCUUGCCCCAGAGUGGCUUAGCGGGGUUGCUAUUACAUCAAAAGUCGAUGUUUACAGCUUUGGCAUGGUACUGAUAGAAAUCAUAUCGGGAAGAAGGAAUGCGUCUGUUGUGCACACUAGCAGCAACGACCAUGUCACUUUUUUCCCUGUGCAAGCCAUCAACAAGCUUCAUGAGGGAGAUGUGCAGAGCUUGGUAGAUCCAGAAUUACAUGGUGACUUUAACUUGGAUGAGGUUGAAAGAGUUUGCAAUGUAGCAUGUUGGUGUAUCCAGGAUAAUGAGCUGGAGCGGCCAACAAUGGGUGAAGUGGUCAGAGUUCUUAAGGGUCUAAUGGAGCUUGAUAUGCCUCCGAUGCCAAGACUGCUUGCGGCUAUAACAACAUAA